rnacentral:rRNA from 1 species
GUCGUACGAGAGUUUUUAACUCAAGUGGCGGACGGGUGAGUAACACGUAAGAAUUUACCUUUAGGAGGGGGACAACAACUGGAAACGGUUGCUAAUACCCCAUAUGCUUCCGAGUGAAAUGGGUUUCCGCCUAAAGAGAAGCUUGCGGCUGAUUAGCUUGUUGGUGAGGUAAUAGCUUACCAAGGCGACGAUCAGUAUCUGGCUUGAGAGGACGAUCAGACACACUGGAACUGAGACACGGUCCAGACUCUUACGGGAGGCAGCAGUGGGGAAUUUUCCGCAAUGGGCGAAAGCCUGACGGAGCAAUACCGCGUGAAGGAUGAAGGCCUAUGGGUUGUAAACUUCUUUUUUCAGGGAGGAAUAAAAUGACGUGUACCUGAAGAAUAAGCAUCGGCUAACUCCGUGCCAGCAGCCGCGGUAAGACGGAGGAUGCAAGUGUUAUCCGGAAUCACUGGGCGUAAAGCGUCUGUAGGUGGUUUAAUAAGUCAACUGUUAAAUCUUAAGGCUCAACCUUAAAAUCGCAGUCGAAACUAUUAAACUAGAGUAUAGUAGAGGUAAAGGGAAUUUCCAGUGGAGCGGUGAAAUGCGUAGAGAUUGGAAAGAACACCGAUGGCGAAGGCACUUUACUGGGCUAUUACUAACACUCAGAGACGAAAGCUAGGGUAGCAAAUGGGAUUAGAUACCCCAGUAGUCCUAGCUGUAAACAAUGGAUACUAGAUGUUGGACAAAUCGACUUGUGCAGUAUCAAAGCUAACGCGUUAAGUAUCCCGCCUGGGAAGUAUGCUCGCAAGAGUGAAACUCAAAGGAAUU